CUUUAUCUGCUCACAGUUUCCCUUUUCUUGAGUUGCAAUAUUAAAGUUUGGUUUCAACGCUUGAGCCCAAAGUCCUGUGCAGCGUGUCAACUCUCAACACCCCUGCAUGAGCCCCAAGGCACCACAUGAUUCCUAUGAUACACCAACAUUGGUUCGGUCCUACAUUGCUGAACUAAUCUUCGUAUGAUAUAUGACAUUGGGCAAUUUUCUUUAUAGCCUGCGGAAGCAGGCAGUGUACUUAAUCUAGCUUCAGUUAUAGAAAAAUCUGACAAUGUAAUUUGAUCCGGAUCUUGACUCCAAUCUCAGGACAGGACAAUGUAAUUUCUUUUAUAUGCAGCUUGCAGUCUUUGCGUCCCGGUGGCAUAGAAAUUAGGGUCCUAUGCAUACUAAAUGUGCAGCUUGGCAUGGCUCUUAGCACACACACAAUCCAUCAGAUGAACAGGAACACUCUUGGAGUACUCCUGUAUUUCCUACAGCAAUAUUACUUACAUUUAGUUUGGUGCCGUCGUGGAAAAUUCAUAUGGGCGUUCCGCAGCGUGUUCAGAAUAAUACUUUGCAAGGGUCAACAGCUCGACGUCGAGCAGCAGCAGCAGGUUCUGCAGCUUCGACGACCCCGAUGAGUCCGCGAUCGUGCUCAACUCGUACCAGGAGGGUGUGGAGGAGUUUCCCCUUGAACUCCAUGACCUGAUUCUAAGGUCAUUGUUCUACUGGCAAUCACUUCACCUGAACGGCUGGACCAGAUGAUAGUGGAUAUACGCAGUGCAGUAUAUUGCUAUAAGGUUGCGUAUUAGCUUUGAGUGAUUUUACUCUUAUUGGUAUCUUGACAAAGCUUGAAUUAUAUGCUGGUGUCUUGAUAGAUACAAGCCUCCCUCUUCUGCCCUUCUUUUCUCCAUCCUCUGCUGGUCGCUAGCACAUGUGAAUCGUUCUCGUCAAGAGCAUGCUUGUGACAUCAUUACUGUAUGUGAUGCAGGGCAAAAGGAUGUUGUCAAAAGGUAAAAACACAUUUAAUCAUUUCCUAUUUUUUUCCUUGCCCGUUUUCGCCGUCAUAUACACUGCAUCUCCCACUGUAACGGAUAGCCAAAUUUGUAUUCUUGAAAGUUUUAAUCAUCUCUAUUGCAGCUAAGUGUUCAAGUGCGAUCUCUAGCCAAGUUCCCUUUGUUGUUGUGUUGUAUUUUGAGGAAAGGUGGCCGAGCAGCUCGUGGCAUCUGUGUCACGCCUGCUCUGCCGCUGCCUUGACCCGCCGACGACGUCGCCGGUUGAGCCGCAAGGGUGCAAGAUCAUCGUGGGGCCCAUUGCAUGGGCGUCGGGUAUGCUUGAUUGCCAUGUUGUAGGCGAAGUGUGACAAGUCGUGUGAGAUGAAGGUGGUGAACCAUCUCAAUGUGAAGCCAAGUAUGUCAUGGAUUUGCCAUGGAUGAUGGAAGACUGGUCAGGGUAAAAGUUUGAGCUGUCAAAUUUUGUGUGACCGAGGUCCUGGACGGUCAAACCUAAAAAGUUCAGUGAAGAUUCAGAUUACAUAUGGAUUCCUUUUUGUUGCCUACAAUGCUAUAAUCACGCUAACUAUGUGCAUGGUGUGUACCAGAGAUGAUUCAAAAAUUGCUUGCCAAUAGGCAGCUGGAUGUCAAGGAGGCCGAAGCCCAUUGUGCCAAAACUAACACAUUAGAAUCUUUCAAUUUGCUGCUACGAUAUUUCAAAGUAAGAACACGAUGAUGCAAAGGAAUCUUAUUAUGUAGCCAUAUGUAAUCUCAAUUUGUUGCUAUGUAUAAAGUAUGAUAGGAGUAGGCCCGUAUAGAUGUGUAUCCAUUUUUGCCUUCUACUGAUCUAUGACAAAGGGGAUGUGCUGGACUAAGUGGCCGUUGCUAUUGAAGCAAAGGAGUGGAACUCACAAUUUUUCAAUCAAUGGAGGUUAUCUUUCAUAUGGAUUUUAUGAUUAGAUACUUGCAGAUGUGUGUCACUUUCUUAGAUCAUGUUUGAUUCUUAAAAUUUUAGAUGUUUCAUGUAACCAUCAAUUAUGCUACCAGCAGUCCCUGUACAUUCUUUUUUACCCGCUCUAAAAAAUUAUCUCGGUUUAUAACCAUCAUACAUUUUAAUGUAUAAGUAAGAUUAUGAGUUGAUCCAGUGCCGAAAAUAAUUCAGUUGAACAUGUUUUUUCUAGCAGUUUUAGGCAACAAUUCAUCUGCAUAUGAAGUUUGAUUCCAUGUGAAGUCUAUGAUUGAUUUUUUCUGGGAUUCUUCAGGUUUGAUUGGUGAAGCUACAUUCAGCAUAGAAGACAUGUUUAUUUGUAGGGAAUUUUUGCAGGUACAAUCCAUCCAGCCAUACAUAAAACUGAUAUUCUCAUUCUUUAACAAUGUGUGCAUGGCCUCUACUCUGUCGUGUGUUGAGAAAAGGCUCUGUCGUGCGUUGAGAAAAGGCUGGACAUAUACUGUUGUUUGUAUAACCUUACUUUGUAAAAUAAUCUGUGGUAACAAACAUGUUAACAAGGGCGCAA